rnacentral:lncRNA from 1 species
UCCGCAGGUGGAUUUGAUCCUGCAGUCGUGGCUGCACUGCGAGCUGCCCUUCGGGGCGCUGGACAUCACCACGCUCUUCGCCUACCUGAGGCCGGAGACGGACGCCCCGCACCUGCUCAUGGAGUUCAUCCAGAACGGCCCCAAUUCCCUCGUCCUCUUCAUCGACCUGCUCCCCCGCAGAGACCUCGUCCUCCACGCCGACUACCUCGACCACUUCUACCAGCUGUCCUCGCUGGAGAAGACCAGGCAAGGCCUCGAGAGCGCCGCCGAGGUGGCGCCCUACCGCUCCUCCUCCCUCUACAUCCGCAGCGUGCUGUCCCCGACGGCCAUUGCCGUCAGCGUCGACUGCGGCGCG